CACUGAAGGGAAGCUUACCAGAGUGCCAUCGAGUUCCUUCCCCUAAGGAUCAGACUUCCAGACUCAAGUGUCAUUUGACCUGGUAUCCAGCUUAAUACAGCCUCUGCUUUUGAAUAGAUUUCCUUACAAGUGGCAAUCUCUAAUAGGGUCAUGUCGAGAGGCAACCCGACUGCAUACUACCUACUGCACGUUAACGUGAUGAAGGUCUCUCCUGAGCACACGGCUUCAUAAACCAGCUGCACAAGCAACUGCAUCUGGGGAUCUGCUUCAAGAGAAACUUAACUAAAGCAAGAAUGGGCUCUAACUUCAGGAUACCUAGGAUUCUAACCUCGUUCCAUUACUUACCAACGAUAUGACCUGGGAAAAAUUAUAUACCUGCUGUAAGCCUCAAUGUCCUCAUUUGAAAUACACACAUAAUAGUAGGAUCUCUCUUACAAGGUUGCUGAAAAUAUAAA
rnacentral:lncRNA from 1 species